UAGCCAAAUUUAUUUAUAACAUAUAAGUCAAAUUAGAUAAUACAAAUUUUUAAUAUUAAUAAUAAUUAUUAUUAUAUGAUUCUCUCUCUACAUAAUAAUUUAUCUUUUCCCUCUCUUCUCUUUACCCAGUCACUUUCGUUAACCUCUAAUAUCUCUCUGUAAUCUCGCUUGACCCUCAAAUUCCUUGAUCCCUACCAUUUUAGAGUCCUCGUCAACGCCCAAGCAGCAACUACUCACCUAUUCGCCUCCAUCCCAACCAUCUUCAUCGCCUAUCUUGGUGAUAAGGGAGUCAAUAAUGGCGGAGCAUUUGAUGGAAAUAGCAUAGGGACUAAAGGGCUCAUUGACAUAGCUAUUGAUGCUGAAGGAGGGGAUGGUUUUGGUGGCGAAAUUGACAUUCGUAUUGGCCGUAGAUUGGAUAUAGGUGGAGGCUUUGGUGGUGGUGCAGGUGGCGGAUAGGUGAAAGGUUAGGUAUUUGAUGUAGGCCAGGAGGUGGUUUGCAAGCUAGAGGUGGAGAUGGUGGUGGAGGUGGUGCUCGUAUGUAAUGCUAGCUUAAGUGGCCGUGGACCUGGUGGAGAAUUUGGUGGCGGAGGUAGUGGUGGCUGAAGAGCUCCUUGAAGAUGUCUGUUCAUCUCAUUUUCAGAUUGAUAAUUAGGACAAAUAAGAGUAAUGUCAUUAUUCAUGAUGGGAUUAAGAAUGAUUGUAGUGAAAUCAUGUAUUUUUUAAUGUUAAAUUUGAGUUGAUUUUAUGCCUUUUUAAUCUCAUUUUUUCAGUAUGAAAAUUGGGUUUUCUUUUUGAGUUUCUCAAAAUGUUAUUGUGCAUAGAUCACUUAUCAAAUAGAACUAGUCACAUAUUAUCGAUUUAUGUUAACAAGGCGUAGGUCAUAU
rnacentral:lncRNA from 1 species